AAUACUGGAUGAUGGGGGCAACCCUGAUCUAGCCAUGCUGCGUGUGUGAAGAAGGUCCUCGGAUUGUAAAGCACUUUAAGUUGGGAGGAAGGGCCUUAGGUUAAUACCCUGAAGUUGUGACGUUACCAACAGAAUAAGCACCGGCUAACUCUGUGCCAGCAGCCGCGGUAAUACAGAGGGUGCAAGCGUUAAUCGGAAUUACUGGGCGUAAAGCGGGCGUAGGUGGUUCAGUAAGAUGGGUGUGAAAUCCCCGGGCUUAACCUGGGAACUGCUUUCAUAACUGCUGAGCUAGAGUACGGUAGAGGGUAGUGGAAUUUCCUGUGUAGCGGUGAAAUGCGUAGAUAUAGGAAGGAACACCAGUGGCGAAGGCGACUACCUGGACUGAUACUGACACUGAGGUGCGAAAGCGUGGGGAGCAAACA
rnacentral:rRNA from 1 species